rnacentral:rRNA from 1 species
CUCAGACAUCCAGCUACAAUUAGAUGUCCGCCAGGGUACUACGAGCAUUAGCUUAAAACCCAAAGGACCUGACGGUGUCUCAGACCCCCCUAGAGGAGCCUGUUCUAGAACCGAUAACCCCCGUUCAACCUCACCACUUCUAGCCACCCCAGCCUAUAUACCGCCGUCGUCAGCUUACCCUGUGAAGGUAAUAAAAGUAAGCAAAAUGGGCACAACCCAAAACGUCAGGUCGAGGUGUAGCGCAUGAAGUGGGAAGAAAUGGGCUACAUUUUCUAAUAUAGAAUAUUACGAACAUGCACCAUGAAACAAUGCUUGAAGGAGGAUUUAGUAGUAAAAGGGAAAUAGAGUGUCCCUUUGAACCCGGCUCUGAGACGCGUACACACCGCCCGUCACUCUCCCCUGUCAAAACGCACCAAAAAUACAUAAUACAACAGCACUGACAAGGGGAGGCAAGUCGUAACACGGUAAGUGUACCGGAAGGUGCACUUGGAUCAAAC